rnacentral:rRNA from 1 species
GACGAACGCUGGCGGCGUGCUUAACACAUGCAAGUCGAACGGAAAGGCCCUGCUUUUGUGGGGUGCUCGAGUGGCGAACGGGUGAGUAACACGUGAGUAACCUGCCCUUGACUUUGGGAUAACUUCAGGAAACUGGGGCUAAUACCGGAUAGGAGCUCCUGCUGCAUGGUGGGGGUUGGAAAGUUUCGGCGGUUGGGGAUGGACUCGCGGCUUAUCAGCUUGUUGGUGGGGUAGUGGCUUACCAAGGCUUUGACGGGUAGCCGGCCUGAGAGGGUGACCGGCCCCAUUGGGACUGAGAUACGGCCCAGACUCCUACGGGAGGCAGCAGUGGGGAAUAUUGCACAAUGGGCGGAAGCCUGAUGCAGCAACGCCGCGUGCGGGAUGACGGCCUUCGGGUUGUAAACCGCUUUCGCCUGUGACGAAGCGUGAGUGACGGUAAUGGGUAAAGAAGCACCGGCUAACUACGUG